rnacentral:rRNA from 1 species
UACAGAGGGGGCAAGCGUUGUUCGGAAUUACGUGGCGUAAAGGGCGCGUAGGCGGCCUUCUAAGUCGAACGUGAAAUCCCCCGGGCUCAACCCGGGAACUGCGUCCGAUACUGGAAGGCUUGAAUCCGGGAGAGGGAUGUGGAAUUCCAGGUGUAGCGGUGAAAUGCGUAGAUAUCUGGAGGAACACCGGUGGCGAAGGCGACAUCCUGGACCGGUAUUGACGCUGAGGCGCGAAAGCCAGGGGAGCAAACGGG